AAUACAGUCCUUUAAUGUGGCCAAUUGAUUUUUUUCCCAGUUUAAAAUUUUAAUUCAAAAAUACCGAAUUAUUUUAUUUAUGGAGAAUUAAAAAAUGUUAUUAAGUAUUCUAUUGUUUACAUCAGGAGUGUCACUUCUCAUUAUAUCUAUUCUGUUAUAUUAACAUAUUACUCAUGGACUAAGAUAUACAGGUGUAGACACGAGGUAAUUAUUAUGGUUACAAGUUGGGCGGAGUACGAGGGAAUUUACCUUUCUAUCGGAAAUGUGGCCAUCUAAUUUGGUGUGUUAAAACACGGUCUUAGAAGAUAAUUAUAGAUUAUCUAUAGUCGUGCUUUAAAAUAACCAUGAGCCACAGAUAUAUUAUUGUAUGCUUAGUAAUGACGUCAGCCGUCAUUUGUGAAUAGGUUAAUAUUUGCUAAAAUAGACCUUUUUUUGAAAAUACCUAAAGGAUCUAUCUACCUAUAUGAUAUUCACAAUUCUCAUAUUUCCAAUUAUUCCAAUUAAAUAGUUUUUUGAUAUUUUUUUCAAAUAAAUUAUUAAAAGAUGCAUUCAAGGAGUGUAUUUUAAUAAGUUUCAUUUUUUAUACCUGGUGUUAUAAGUUUUUGAGAGUUUUGAAAUUUUUUUAAUUUCUGUUAUCUAUCUUUUUUUUCAUAUUGUGAAAAUUGUCUCAUCCUCAUUCUAAUAUAAUAUAUUACAGUAAAUGAAAUUACAUCCCCACCAUGACUUGAACAUGGGCAAUUUAUUGUAUUUUCAGACAUCAAAUUGAGAAUAUGAGUUCAAAUGCAUGCGUGAAUGGAGAAUGUUUUAUGAAACUAUAUACGAUUUUGUUUUGAUGAAAUCAAAAUAGAAAAUGUUUGGGUGUAUCAAUCGUCCCUUCGUUUUCAUGCGAACUAAUGAAGAACACAUUUGUUUAGAAUAAACUUGUGAUGUUACAAAAGCCGACUUACAAGUAUUGUAUUCACCAAUGUAUUUCAACAUUUAUUUAGAUACCUACUCUAUAAAAGUAAUUGAUUUUUAAUAUUUAAUAACAUUUUACAUAUAAUAAUAAUAUACGUAUCACAAUAUUUUAUUACAUAUCAGUUAAAUAAUAUAUAUUAGACAAUCUAUGAAUUCACCCUUUGUAUGAUUGUGUUUAACAACUUCAUCAAAUUCCCUUUUUUUUUUUUUUUUCAAUUAAUUUUGACUUCUUUAGUUCAUAGAUACCUUUUCCCACAUGGAUACCUAUCCACACCAGCACAUCAAAUAUAUUUACUGAGCAAAUAACAUUUCCUAAUUUAUCAACAAUAUCCUUUGAUCUUAUUAUUUGGUCAUCCCAAAAAUGUAUUUUUACAAAUAACCUCAUUGUACUAAAAUUAUAUAUGCCUAAAGAUUGUAGCCAUUUCUCUUUUAAAUGUUUAUUUUUAGGAAUAUUAAAACUGGAGAAUUUCUCAGAGUUGUUACAAUGGAAGUAACAAAUUUUAUUCAGCAUUUUCAAAUUACACUUAAUAACUUUAGUUAAAAUAAGACACACCC